rnacentral:rRNA from 1 species
GAAUAUUGGACAAUGGGGGCAACCCUGAUCCAGCCAUGCCGCGUGUGUGAAGAAGGCCUUUUGGUUGUAAACUGCUUUUGUACGGAACGAAAAGCUUUGGGUUAAUACCCUGGAGUCAUGACGUUACCGUAAGAAUAAGCCCCGCCUAACUACGUGCCAGCAGCCGCGGUAAUACGUAGGGUGCAAGCGUUAAGCGGAAUUACUGGGCGUAAAGCGUGCGCAGGCGGUUUUGUAAGACAGAGGUGAAAUCCCCGGGCUCAACCUGGGAACUGCCUUUGUGACUGCAAGGCUAGAGUACGGCAGAGGGGGGUGGAAUUCCGCGUGUAGCAGUGAAAUGCGUAGAUAUGCGGAGGAACACCGAUGGCGAAGGCAACCCCCUGGGCCUGUACUGACGCUCAUGCACGAAAGCGUGGGGAGCAAACAGG